AGAUUUAAUAAAUAUUUACUAUAACUUCACCACGAAGUUAACCGUAUUCGAAGAGAUAAUAUAACUGGCAGAAGACAACGACUAGAAAAUGAGAAGAAUACUUCGAAUAACUAAAUGAAAGCGUAAAAGAUCUUGAAAACGAACGAACGAAAAGAAACGCUUCAAUGACCAAACAAUCGCCAGCUUUGUCACAAUAUUAUUCCCGCCUUUGGAUGCACUUCGAAAAAUUGUGCUCAAGAAAACUUGGGCAUCGACCUAAAACAGUCGAAGAAAAUCGCGUAAAAUUUGAAUCACCAACGGUCGAUGGCAUCAAUUUGGAGAAUGCUCGACAAAAUAUCAAUUCGAUGUAUUAACUUCGCAAAAACGUAACAUCGGUGUAAAAUUCGAACGUCGAAAAAGACGGGCGACGACAUCAACCAGCUAAGGUCAGCGACUGAAAUCGUUUACGUUUUGACUAAGUGGAACAUAUAGCCGGCGAAACUUUUUUAAGCGGCCCGCAAGAGACUUUGAGAUUGAUUAUGAAUGGCGGAAUGGGUCAAUUACUGGUUUAAAAUAUUCAUCGAGAAAAUAUCUCUCGAGAAGAAAUAUAUUCAGUUGCUCGCCGAAUGGACGAUUUUUCGAAAGAUAUCGAAAUCACAAGCAAACGUUAUUCCCAAUGACCCCGUCCGUGUGUAAGAUUUGUGCAUAUUUGUACAAGAACUAAGUAUAUAGAAAUUACGCAAUUAUCGAACACCAAUGAUGACAAUGAUCUCUCAUUCGGAUCAGGUACUGAUGUGAUCAGUUUAAUAUAACGAUGUGCAGAACAAAAUUCAGCACACAGCUGACGAAGGACAAAUGCAGGAACAUCGAGUGCCAAAAAUUGUGCACAACUAUUGGACAUUAAGAACUACAAUGAUCUCGCCUUCGGGGUCAGGUGCUGCGGUAGCAGUUUAAACAAAUUACGUUGUGCAGAAGAAAAUUCAGCUAUCAGAUGAUCACUUGCAAACUCAACUUCGAGUUGCCAACAGAUAACACCACUUAUGAACAAUAAAGACUGACAAUGAUCUCUCCUUCGUGAUCACGUACUGCUCUUAGCAGCUUUUACAAAUAACGAACGCUGUGCAGAAUAUUGCAAAAUCAACUACGAGUUGAUGAAAACUUUUGAUGACUGUGUGAGUCAUUAAAGAGUCAGAGUCUCCAUCAGUUUACGUUAGACAGUUACGUUAGUUAGACAGUGUAGAGUCCCUGAUCUUUUUGUACGCACCCUUCAUGUAGAAUCAGGGCCAUCGGGCGAAGAGAGAAGUGCGAAGGGAGCGAAGAUGUGAAGAUAGGACACUUCGCUAGAGGAUCUUCACUUGUAUGGUACUAUAAAUCUUUUUUCGUCUGUCGCUUCCUUAGUUAGACAGCAAGGGAUGACUAGAUAGGGUUCGACGGACAAAUCUAGUUUAGGACUUGAUGCUGGAGAAUGUCUCUUUUCCCCAGGCAUUCUUGAUAGAAUCCAUUUUUGCCUUCAAUGAUUUUGAAAUGUGGAUUAUUCUGUGCUAAUAGUAGCACCGAUAAUAGCUCUUUAUGAGCGUUUUAUAAUACGUGGAUAAAUUAAAUUCUUGUGGGAGUUCAUCGCCAGUUUGUUAUAUUGAUCCACUUUAUAUGGCCUUUGACGAAUUGUCACAAUUUGUCGAUGCCAGUUUUGAAUACUAAUUGAGAUAGGGAAAUAACCAUUUUUUUCUUUUAAUUAAUAAUGCCGAAACCUUUCUGUAAUUUAUCAAUUUUGAGAAAGAAAAAAAAUGCUCCGUAAAUUUGACUGGCCAAGUUACCAAAAGAAGGGUUUCGGCUAGGCUUAAAUACUGCACUGUGAUGUAUCUUUUCUUUAGUUAGAUAGGGUCUUAGGUUUUUAUUAUUAUUAUUAUCACUUAGAGAGGGAAUAAGCUUUAAGUCUCGUAAAUUAAAUCGGCCACCCUCCUGGAGCAUUUAUUCAUCGGAUACAGAGGCAUAGCUUCUUGUAAUCAUAUUUAUUUGGUCGAGACUUUUAGCUUUUUCCCACCUUGCAUGCUAGGCUAUAACACAGGAGUCCCUCAAAUUGAGGGACAGAAGCAGACGAAAGACAUCGGAAGGUACAUUAGAUCCUCUGGUGCAAUGAAUGACAAUAAAUUUCAAUAUUUCAAUUUUAACUGAAUGAAAUAAGUUUGAAAAACAAUUUUAAACUCUUUCGUUCGGUUGUUUUGAAAUUGAGGUUCAAUUUAAUGUCAUUGGUCAUUAUUGCACUUCGAGGCAAAGUCUUGGUUUAAUAUUGACUAUGGAUUCAGUCUGAAGCCAAGAGUCAAUGUUGCCAAGCCCGGUAGCACUAAGCUACUGGUAAGGUAGUUAGACUAGGGUAAAUCGUAGUUGAGGACUUUGCAUUGUAGCACAUACAAAUUGUUCGACUUGGCAAUAUUUUUAACUUACCUUGAUUAGAGCAAUCGUGCGCCAAAGCAAAGUCCUCUGCUAUGCCUUGUAGAUGUUGCCUUGGGUUUUCGGCAACGUAGGGUUUUGUAGGCCGGUCAGCUUCCAGCUUCAUUGAGUUUAGUACGGCAUUUAUGAACGGACUCGAGACUGCAAUAUUUGAGUCGCUGUUAUAAAUGCAGGGGGAGAUAACGUCCGCGCUGCGACCCAGAUAGCCUAAACCUCCCUGGUGCUUGCACCAUUUAGUUCAGAUUUCGUCCGCGCAGAAUUCGAUAGAGAUUUGGUUAGUAAAAGCUGACCUUAAGCAGGUUAGAAUAUUAUAAGGAGCGUUCCGUGUUUUGCAAUACUUAGACCAGGUCGGCGCAGAAUAGAUUUUGUAAAACUAGGACCAAACGUUUGUGUUGCUGAGAUGUUAAGGCGGGUGGUUGGGGACGGUUGAAUAGUUAGUUCUUUAGCUAGGGUUAGGUAGAGUUAAGGGUGAAAGGUUAUUAUCACUCGCACUGUUGUCCUCUCUUGGGACUUCAAGUUGGGUUUGAUAAUUCACUUUUUCACGGUGAUAGGAAUGCAUAGGGAGAACAAAUGAUGUAACGGUUCCCAGAUAUCUUGUCUGGGAAUUGAAACUCUUUUUCUUCUCGUUGACUUUUAGGCCAUAGAUUGUGCAGAUUUUAUUCUUGUACUAUGGUUUUGCUUAUGUGGCAACACCAUAUUUAUACUUUAUAAUGCCGUGCAGUCAAAUGCAAGGCAUUCGUGUUUUUUCGUGGUUAUUUGCCUUGAGAGGCAAAAAUCAUAUUCAUGUCGUGCGAAUAUAUCGCAAGACAUUUUUUUUCAUCUAUUUCCUUUCCCAGUGGUUCAAUUGCCUUUAGCGGCAUAAACCAUGUUUA